rnacentral:rRNA from 1 species
GGUAAUACAGAGGGUGCGAGCGUUAAUCGGAUUUAUUGGGCGUAAAGGGCGUGUAGGCGGAUGUUUAAGUUAGGUGUGAAAUACCCGGGCUCAACCUGGGAACUGCAUCUAAAACUGGACAUCUAGAGUAUGGUAGAGGGAAGUGGAAUUUCCGGAGUAGCGGUGGAAUGCAUAGAUACCGGAAGGAACAUCAGUGGCGAAGGCGGCUUCCUGGACCAAUACUGACGCUGAGGCGCGAAAGCGUGGGUAGCAAACAGGAUUAGAUACCCUGGUAGUCCACGCCGUAAACGAUGAGAACUAGGCGUUGGGGGUUUCCCUUAGUGCCGCAGCUAACGCGAUAAGUUCUCCGCCUGGGGAGUACGGCCGCAAGGCUAAAACUCAAAGGAAUUGACGGGGGCCCGCACAAGCGGUGGAGCAUGUGGUUUAAUUCGAUGCAACGCGAAAAACCUUACCUAUCCUUGACAUCCUGGGAAUUCUCUAGAGAUAGAGAAGUGCCUUCGGGAACCCAGUGACAGGUGCUGCAUGGCU